rnacentral:lncRNA from 1 species
UAUGGCUCGGCUCCAGGAACUCCAAAAGAUGUCGAAAAAACUGAAGUGGCCGAUGAUGUGGGUGCAACUGUCAAUAGAAUUAACCCCAAGGAACAAGAGGAAUCGUUCACCACAGGGGAUAACUGAGUUAAGUCAUGUUCAGUAUCUUCCAAUCCCUCACCGCCGCCAACACAACCACCUCCAAACCUUGAAGGUUUUAUGAGAUUUGUU